AUGAGUUGAUCUUUUUCUUUAUAAUGCGAAUUAUUUGCGAAAUACUGAAUCCGAAGUUGCUAACCGCCAGUUUAUAUAUCACAAUACUACGAUUAAUGGUUUAUAGGCUGGUCUACGAGCAAUAUGGAACACAACAAAUUAUCUUUGAUCUGACGACUUCUUAGCUAGAAUAGAAUAUUUGUAAUAAAUAUGAUAAGCACCGAAAUCUGACAGAUUAUCAGAUUCCAAUUUUCGAGCGUGCUAUUGUUUCUAUCGGUAUAGGUAGCCAACAGAGAAAGAACAUAUUUUCAAUUUAAUCAAAAGACAAAGUGCUCAAAAUGAGAUAUACAUUUAAUUGUUUACAAAAAGUAGGCUUCUUGGGAGAACCUAAAAGACUUGAAUACAGAGAAAAAAGUGAGUUGCUAGCAUUUUUAAGUAGCAAGGUUAUACACAAUUUAUAUUUCGCACCUUACUGAUGAUAAAUAGUUUUCAUGACAUGAUCAGUUUUGCGAGCGGUAGGUUUGAUAAGCCCUAAAAACCUCAAUUCUUCUAAACCAAACAAAAAUCGAGAUUGUAGCUUUGCUUCUUCGAGUUUUCUUUUAUCCUCAUCUAGUUCAUUCAAUUCUCUUUGCAGAUUCCCCUGAGGUGAUUCUCGUGGAUGGUUAUCAUCCUCUUUCAAGUUUUCUUUUCCAGCUUGCAGAUGCUCUGAAAAUGCUAUGUACCAAUCGUACAAAUUAAGCAAUGCACCAGAUUCACUAUAUAACUUAUAAAGGAUAGAUAAAUCUGGAAGCCAGGAUAUCAAAUCUUUUCCAUCUUUUUCAGCGUUAGAAAACUCGCUGUCAAUUUUCUUUUCAUCUCCUACAUAAUACUCUGGAUCCAUGCACGAACUAUGAAUCACACUUCUUUGAUGUCCUGAAGCAAAUGCUUGAUUCAACGGUCGACAGUAAUCAUAAAAUAGCACUUCGUAAAAGGGAUACAUAUCAAUAGAUUCAGUACCCAAGCAUCCAUAUUGAACUUCUUCGUCCAAUAAUCCUACAAUUUUCUUCAAAAUUUUAGAAAAGUCAAUUAUGCUUUUAUCAAAGCCAGAUUCAACAACUUUUCUUGUAUGCUUUGUUCCACUAUAGUUUUGCAUUCGAAC